AUGACCCAAAAUGCAAAGGGUACUAAAAACUUAUGCAAGCUGAUUGAAAUCCCGCAACAGCAUUUGUUUAGGGUUUAAUAACUAAGAAAACUAAUUGAUUUUAGAACGCAAUCAGAAUUUCCUUCCUGCCGAUUCCACGAUUAGAAUUCUCCAUCUGUAGAGAAAAGAGAGUCUCUCCAUCAUCAUUGCCUGCUUUAAAUUAUUCUCUUCUCAAAUUUACUUCAUAUGUAAGAAAAAAAAAAACACUAUUUACCCUUUUGUCUCGUUCCCCUCUUCUGGAUUAGCGUUUCUUGCGUUGGCUUUACGGGAUUAUGAUUUAUUGAUUAUUUUCUUAGCUACCAAAAGGAGGAAUUGCCAGCGUUGAUGUCACGCACCUUUGGCUUUCAGUUCCGCGGGGAAGUCUGAUUCCAGGUUGGAUCAGAAAACUAGGUGGAUUAUUUCUUUAAGAACUGAACUUUAAGAUCAUUUAAUCUUUAAGAGAAACAAUGUCUGGGAGAAAUCGUGGCCCCCCUCUUCCUAUUAAAGGCUUGCCUCAUGCUGGCCUACCGCCUGCUGUCCAUGAAGCACACUUUGGCAGAGGGCUGGGACCAAUACCACCCCAUCCAGCCCUACUGGAGGAAAUGAGAGAAACCCAAUUUGGGAUAGAUCCCAGGCGGCUCCCUCCUCAUCCUGCUAUAAUGGAGGAGCGUCUUGCCGCACAACACCAAGACAUUCAAGGUUUAUUGGCUGACAACCAGCGUCUUGCUGCAACCCAUGUUGCACUUAAGCAGGAAUUGGAAGCUGCCCAGCAUGAGUUGCAACGGAUGGCACAUUUUGCUGAUUCAUUGCAUGUGGAGAAGGACUCAAAGAUGAGGGAAUUGCAUGAGAAGUCUCUAAGGUUGGAGGCAGAUCUUCGAGAGGUGGAGGCUAUGCGCAGUGAGCUUCAACAUGUCCGUGCUGAUGUUAAGGAACUUAGUGAUGUGAGGCAAGACCUAACAAGUCGUAUGCAGGCAAUGACUCAAGAUCUGACUAGGUAUAAUGCAGAUUUGCAGCAAUUGCCAGCUUUGAAGGCAGAAAUUGAGAGCAUGAAGCAGGAAUUGCAGCGUGCACGAGCUGCCAUUGAGUAUGAGAAGAAAGGAUAUGCUGAAAAUUAUGAGCAUGGCCAGGUGAUGGAGAAGAAAUUGAUUGCAAUGGCUCGGGAGAUGGAAAAGCUUCGAGCUGAGAUUGCUAAUGCAGAGAAGAGAGCUCGUGCUGCUGCAGCUGUGAGUAAUCCAGCUUAUAAUGCAAACUAUGGCAAUCCUGAAGCUGGAUAUGCAGGAAAUCCUUAUCCAGUUGGCUAUGGCAUGAAUCCUAUGCAAGCUAAUGCUGAGAAUUAUCCCCAAUAUGGAGUUGGACCUGGUUCCUGGAGUGCAUAUGAUAUGCAGCGAGCUCAAGGACACAGAUAGACUGGUUUCCAAGUAGCUAUGAUGUGUGUUAAAUGGCAUAACCUUUGGGCCUCGAUGGAUGCCUGUUCUUUGGUUGAGCAUUUCCAUGAGUUUCUGAUGUCUUGACAGUGGCCUAGCUAGAAUUUGAAACAUCAAAGGAUGGAUUUAAAUUGCUAGCAUGGAAUUUAAUCAAGAAACUAUCUGGAAUCUUGGGUGCUCAAAUUGGUCCAUUCAUGAAAUAAGCAGUUCUAAUCUUUUCAAGCCCCUCUGACAGUGUGGGAUAUGCGUUGGGCCAAGGCAUAACUUCAGAAUCGAUUUAUAUUUGUUCACCGGAGGCGGCUUGUAGGUGGAGGUGCACGAAGGGAUGAAUUUUGUGACGUUCAACGAACGUGGAUUCUUCAAAAUGAAGGCGCUGGAAGAACAGGUCUGGGAGUUUCUUCACAAUGCUUGGCAAUGAGAAUUUUUUUAGCCUUUGAAUAUUUUUGGGGAUCCUGGUUUAGCUGAAGCGACGUUCAUGCUAAAUUGUGCAGAUCGUAUGGUUGAAAAUGAUGAAGCGUUAAUGUGGUGAUGGUUUGGCUGGCAGAAUUUUGGGUUGCACCGCCUACACUGGUAUUGAAGGCUUCUUUUCCUUCUACUUCUGUCUCAUAUGUUCAUAGGAACGAUUAUUAGGUAGUCUGUUUGCCCUUUCGCAUUAGCUGAGCUUUACGCUGUUUAAUGUAGUUAAGUUAUUUUCCAGUAAAGAAAAAAAUAAAAUAAAAUACAAAAGAAAACCAUAUUUAUUAGUUUCUGAUUUAGGUAUGGAAUGGCAUUGAGAAUACUGUAAUCAUAAACAAUAUAAAAAUCAAAGCUACUUAAUCUUUAUAUUGUUAUUCUACCAAA